UUACUGAGGAGUCCCAAAAUAGGACGAAACAGCUGUCCAG
rnacentral:hammerhead_ribozyme from 1 species